GCGCGCGCGGGUCUGGCGCUUCCUGUUCGGCAUGUUCCCCAGCAGCUCCACGGCCCUGGAGCGCCCCCUGCUGGCCGAGCAGCUGGCGGUGCGCUACGGCGCCAUGAAGAGGAAGUGGCGGCAGCUGCUGCCCUCCGCCGCCCGCAUCCGGCUGAACGGCACCGACGACGAGCUGAUCGCCGCCGUGCGGUUCUACGAGCGGCGCAGGGAGCAGGCCGAAGGGUCGCCGCCCCAGCAGGGCGAGGAGGCCGCGCAGAGGAUCUCCUUCCUGGAGCUGCAGGCUCAGGUGCUGAUGGACCGGGUCAGUCUGGACCUGGAGGACCUGCAGGAGGCUGUGCGGAUCAUCGACAAGGACGUCCCGCGGACCGAGAGGGACCUGGACUACUUCCUGGGCGAGGGCUCCGCCAACCUGCUGGUGCUGAGGGAUAUUCUCAUCACCUUCGCCGCUUUCCAUCCAGGUAAGUUCCCUGCCCCCUCGGCCGCGCCUGUGUCCGAGACCUGUCAGCCGUGCUCCUGCACUGGCGCCCCCUAGUGGCGGCACGAGCACGUGUUUCAGGGUCGGCGGAGUGUGUUCAGGGCAUGUGGCCACAAUGAGUGACCAUUAAUCAGCUCUUGCUCUUUCACAACUCUGAGAGGAAACCAGCACAGAGAAAGCAUAUAUUGCACAUGUGAUGUAAGGCUGAAUAAUGGUUGUUCAUAUGUGAAAUGGUUUUGUUUUGUUCUCUAAAAUAAAAAAUAAAAGUAUAUUGGGGCUGCCGUUGGGCAGGCAC
rnacentral:lncRNA from 1 species